rnacentral:rRNA from 1 species
UACAGAGGAGCCAAGCGUUGUCCGGAUUUACUGGGCGUAAAGGGCGCGUAGGCGGCGUGGUAAGUCAGCUGUGAAAUCUCCGAGCUUAACUCGGAACGGUCAGCUGAUACUGCUGUGCUAGAGUACAGAAGGGGCAAUCGGAAUUCUUGGUGUAGCGGUGAAAUGCGUAGAUAUCAAGAGGAACACCUGAGGCGAAGGCGGGUUGCUAGGCUGAUACUGACGCUGAGGCGCGAAAGCUAGGGUAGCAAACGGG